UAAGCAUCAUGAUGGUUAUAAUCUACUACCAAAUGGUCCAGAACUCGUCUAAGAGAAAGGAAGAUCAAACCAACGCGAUAUGGAAUGGCUUGUUUUUCUAUUCAAAGAUCAGCGCCCUGGCUCUGUGUUUUCACAUCGAGAAGUCAAAAGGACAUACAUAUGGUUUAAUUGGUCAAGGUUUGAGUGCGUGAGAAAAGGAAAAGAAACAACCAAAUACAAAGAAAAUACAAGCUGAAGACUUUAAAUUCAGUCUCGAAAUUGCCCUUGCAUAUUGCCCUCGAGGUCCAACUAAACAUACAUUUCCCAUUGUUUUGCCACGAA
rnacentral:misc_RNA from 1 species